rnacentral:lncRNA from 1 species
UUUAAUUGCCAGCAUAGCUAUUCUUUUACAAUGAAAGUAUUUACAGGACUUAUGAAACAUAUCAAAGGAAUACAUUUCUUCCUUCAUUAUAUGAAAGAAUUUUGGUACUAAAUACAAGGUUACAAUCUAAUUAAACAGUACCGAUAUCGGACCUAACAACGGACGUAUCAAGUUGAAAUUCAAAAGAUUCGGCCAAUUUGACUGCAUCUGAAAUUCUAAGCCUUGUUCCUUGCUGUGCAACAACAGUGGCUGCAACCUUAGCUGCUAUUGUACCUAUAUUUCUUAAAUCCGACACGCCUCUUAAAACACCAUACAAUAUGCCAGAUGCAUAUGCAUCACCAGCACCACAAGUGUCUACCGGAACACAUGGAGAAGGAGGGAUGUAUACUGCUUCACCUUUUACGCCUAUGUAAGAGCCUCGGAGACCAUCGGUAACGGAUACUAGAGGGACAAACUGACUUAGAUACCUUGUAACAGAAACAGUGCUUUCCUUUGCAUCAAAAUUACAUAGAGCUCUCGCCUCGUCAGCGUUCGCGAAGAUUAAAUCUGCAUAAUUGCCUACAAUUUCCCUAAAUGAUCAUAAUGUCUCUCGAUGCAUGUAACGUCUGAAGCUGUUACUGCAACCAAAGCACCGUUACUCCUAGCUUCCUUACAAGCUUUUGUUAUUGCUUUAAUAGU